UACGUAGGCAGCGAGCGUUGUUCGGAGUUACUGGGCGUAAAGGGUGUGUAGGCGGUUGUUUAAGUUUGGUGUGAAAUCUCCCGGCUCAACUGGGGAGGGUGCGCCGAAUACUGAGCGACUAGAGUGCGGGAGAGGGAAAGUGGAAUUCCUGGUGUAGCGGUGAAAUGCGUAGAUAUCAGGAGGAACACCGGUGGUGUAGACGGCUUUCUGGACCGGUAACUGACGCUGAGACACGAAAGCGUGGGUAGCAAACAGG
rnacentral:rRNA from 1 species